UGAAGCCUUGGUGGAAAUCUUGGCCAAUACAUGGGAAAUAAAAUCCCAGACAAAAGAAAGCGAAGUGUAUGUGAUAGUAUGUUACAGUAAUACAUGCUAUGAAGACUACUGUUUUGUCAAGUGCACUCAAGUACAGUGUGAUGGCCUCUGCUCACAUUUAUAUACUUGUACUUGCCCUGACCAGCAUUCACUGUGCAAACAUAUACACAAAUUGCAUUCCUAUCUUCGUAGAGGAAAAGCCUUCUCCACAACUUUUUGUAGCUUUGAAGAGAGUCUUCAACCAAUUGAAGAUCAGGCUGAUCUAGAUAAAAGAUCAACUACUGAGAACAUGGCUGCUAGGAAGUCAAGCUCUCUACUGGCCAAAAUAGAGCAGAACUUAUCUACUCUUUCACAGUUCCAGAUGUCUGCAAUAGACAAUAAAGUCAGUGAACAAACAUUGAGGCAUGUAAAUUAUACACUGACCAACUUAGUUAAUCACAUUCAGAUGUCGGAUGGUAAAAGUCAACUUGUAAACGUAAAUGAGAUGAAAGCUGCGGUUAAGUUCAAUUCGCAAGAGAAACUCAAGACCCAAGUAUCCCAACUUUUAUCAUUUAAGAGGCCAGUUAGUAAAAGGAAAAGGAAACCUGCAGACUGUAAAGAGAAGAAAGAAACUGUCAUAAAAAAUCUUCUUGAUUUUUUGCCCUAGUCCCAUUGUCCCCAAGAAGAUUUUGAGGGUUGAAGCUAAGUUUAAGGGUCAUGGCCUAAUUUUCGUUUGACACAUAUGCUUGGAUACUUGGAUUAUGCUUGGUUCCACUGAAAUUGUAACUACGACGUGGUAGAUAGCUUUUCCUUUUUGGCGGGUUUUAGCCGCAAUGAAGAGGUUCAUCAUAUCAUGCGCUUCAUAAAAAAAUUAAUCCUUUUAUUUGUAAUUUCACCAUAUUCAGUUCUUGAGUUAUACUUCUUGGUUAAAGGAUGUACAAUUUGACACUGCAAUAGUAUGGUAAUUUACUGGAAGUUAUAUGUAUGUAUAAUUUAUAAUGCACAUGUUGUGUAUUCUAUUAAUUCAUGUUUUUGAAUUAUAAACUAACUGUAGUAUAAAGGA